rnacentral:rRNA from 1 species
AGUGAACGCUGGCGGUAGGCCUAACACAUGCAAGUCGAACGGCAGCACAGUAAGAGCUUGCUCUUACGAGUGGCGAGUGGCGGACGGGUGAGGAAUACAUCGGAAUCUACUUUUUCGUGGGGGAUAACGUAGGGAAACUUACUCUAAUACCGCAUACGCCCUACGGGUGAAAGCAGGGGAUCUUCGGACCUUGCGCGAUUGAAUGCGCCGAUGUCGGAUUAGCUAGUUGGCGGGGUAAAGGCCCACCAAGGCGACGAUCCGUAGCUGGUCUGAGAGGAUGAUCAGCCACACUGGAGCUGAGACACGGUCCAGGCUCCUACGGGAGGCAGCAGUGGGGAAUAUUGGACAAUGGGCGCAAGCCUGAUCCAGCCAUACCGCGUGGGUGAAGAAGGCCUUCGGGUUGUAAAGCCCUUUUGUUGGGAAAGAAAAGCAGCAGGUUAAUACCCCGCUGUUCUGACGGUACCCAAAGAAUAAGCACCGGCUAACUUCGUG